UACGUAGGGUGCGAGCGUUGUCCGAAUUAUUGGGCGUAAAGAGCUCGUAGACGGCUUGUCGCGUCGGGAUGUGAAAGCCCGGGGCUUAACUCCGGGUCUGCAUUCGAUACGGGCAGGCUAGAGUUCGGUAGGGGAGAUCGGAAUUCCUGGUGUAGCGGUGAAAUGCGUAGAUAUCGGGAGGAACACCAGUGGCGAAGGCGACUACCUGGCCUGUUCUUGACGCUGAGACGCGAAAGCGUGGGGAGCAAACAGG
rnacentral:rRNA from 1 species